AGAGUUUGAUCCUGGCUCAGGACGAACGCUGGCGGCGUGCCUAAUACAUGCAAGUCGAGCGAAUCGAUGGGAGCUUGCUCCCUGAGAUUAGCGGCGGACGGGUGAGUAACACGUGGGCAACCUGCCUAUAAGACUGGGAUAACUUCGGGAAACCGGAGCUAAUACCGGAUACGUUCUUUUCUCGCAUGAGAGAAGAUGGAAAGACGGUUUACGCUGUCACUUAUAGAUGGGCCCGCGGCGCAUUAGCUAGUUGGUGAGGUAAUGGCUCACCAAGGCGACGAUGCGUAGCCGACCUGAGAGGGUGAUCGGCCACACUGGGACUGAGACACGGCCCAGACUCCUACGGGAGGCAGCAGUAGGGAAUCUUCCGCAAUGGACGAAAGUCUGACGGAGCAACGCCGCGUGAACGAAGAAGGCCUUCGGGUCGUAAAGUUCUGUUGUUAGGGAAGAACAAGUACCAGUGUAACUGCUGGUACCUUGACGGUACCUAACCAGAAAGCCACGGCUAACUACGUGCCAGCAGCCGCGGUAAUACGUAGGCGGCAAGCGUUGUCCGGAAUUAUUGGGCGUAAAGCGCGUGCAGGUGGUUCCUUAAGUCUGAUGUGAAAGCCCACGGCUCAACCGUG
rnacentral:rRNA from 1 species